UUGAAGCACCCAAAUAGAAACAUGGAGAGCCUAGUGGAGCGCUCGCUCUUCCUCCGCUGUCCACCACCAGACGACCGCAAAGACCAUCACUAUAAUGUGGUCACUCCUAAGCCAGUACCUUAUUCAGACUUUAUCGCAGCGCUGAUGUACAGAGAGACCACCAACCCAGACAACAGGACGACUUACCCCUCAAACAGCACAAUAUCCCCCAUCAUCCUGGAAUGUAUGGAGAAGAGGGGCAGGCUACUGCAGAUGCAUGAGGAGAUGGAGGCGUUUGAGUCGUCCGAGGACUCCCUGCAGUACCUGGAGAAACUGGUGAUGAAGAAAGGGAUUAGAACCGGUACCCCCUGGAGGAUGAACAAGAGGUUCAAGGUCUGUCUGUCUGUAACUCAACUCUCUCUCUCUCUCUUUCUAUCAACUCAGUUCAUUCAGGAAGUCCUAUACAGAUUUCUCUAUUAAUUUCCUGAAUUGGCCACAAUCGUAGUGUGUGUUCUCUGUAAAUGCUUUAUUUACACUAACCCUGUGUGUAUAUUCAAUUCUAUGUCAAUGACCCUCUUGGUUGGGCUGUAGGGCAGUGUUGUGUCCUGUAAAGCAGUAUAUCUGAGAGGGUUUUGUCUGGUGUGUGUUUGCAGGUUCUCUCUAAGUGGAGGAAAAAGGCAACGAUGGUCUCCAAGCUGCUCAAUUUUGGAGGCUGUUCAGAGGCGGCGAAACAACAGAGAGACAACAUGUUGCCCACGAGGCCAUUGGGUUGGGCAACCUUUCACUCAUGGACACACACUCAUGGACACACACACACACACUCACGGACACAAACACACACAUACAUGGCUAAACUUGGCAAUGGCAAAAAGACAGAUAGGAUGUUGCAGAUGGAUUUCUCUGGUUAAUAUUAAUAUCCAUGGCAGUGCUGAUUUUGAUGUCACUGUUUUUAUGUUGCAGGUGUGACUCCCCCUGUGCCACUUUUAAAGCGCCUUGCCAUGCAACAGGAGAAAAUACCCUUAGUCAACGAGAACGAAGUGUCUGAAAUGAGCAAGCCUCCAUCUCCCAGAAAGAUCCUGGCUGCAGAAUCUGGCCUGUCCACAUGUAUGGCCUCCACCCAGGUUGCCCAGUCAGCCCCAUUCUCUCCACCUCCAUCUGAUCAAUAUACCACACCGCCAACAGUAGCCACCCCACCUACAUCAGCCGUGGCCCAUAAGGCAUCUCCCCCUAGCAGUGUGGCCUCCAGCUCCAUGGACCACCUUGUCCAGUCCAGGGCCAGCUCUUCCCCCAGACACAUCACCCUGGUCCUGCCUGAGGGUCCCGCCACCCCAGCUUCCACCUCAGCCUCAGCCUCAGCCUCCACCUCCGCUCAGCCCAAUACCAGAUACAUCCCUAAACCCACCAAUGUGGCCGUUCCCAUCCACCUGACCUCCCUCUGUGUUCUUACUACCCUGGAGGAGGAAGGGGAGGAGGAGGAAGGAGAGGAGGAGGAAGGAGAGGAGGAGGAAGGAGAGGAGGAAGACGGAGAGGAGGAGGAGGUCGGGAAGAAAAAGGAGGUGCAUGCUACAGUAUCGUCCUCCCUCCUCAAGACGCUCUCCUCUCUGACGCUGACCCCCGAGGUGGCCCUCCAUGCCACCCUGGUGCACUCGCGCCAACAGAGCAGGCAUGGGCAGCUGGAGGAAUGUCAGCCAGCUAGCCCCAGCUACCAGCAGGAGGAGUGUCAUCCAGCUAACCCCAGCUACCAGCAGGAGGAGUGUCAUCCAGCUAACCUCCGCUACCAGCAGGAGGAGUGUCAGCCAGCUAACCCCAGCUACCAGCAGGAGGAGUGUCAGCCAGCUAACCCCAGCUACCAGCCUUACCAGGAGAGCCCGUCCAGGGGGAAGAGUGACCGAGACCAGGG
rnacentral:lncRNA from 13 species